ACGCUGGCGGCAGGCUUAACACAUGCAAGUCGAACGGUAGCAGGAGAAAGCUUGCUUUCUUGCUGACGAGUGGCGGACGGGUGAGUAAUGCUUGGGAAUCUGGCUUAUGGAGGGGGAUAACUACGGGAAACUGUAGCUGAUACCGCGUAGAAUCGGAAGAUGAAAGUGCGGGACCGUAAGACCGCAUGCCAUGAGAUGAGCCCAAGUGGGAUUAGGUAGUUGGUGGGGUAAAGGCCUACCAAGCCUGCGAUCUCUAGCUGGUCUGAGAGGAUGGCCAGCCACACUGGAACUGAGACACGGUCCAGACUCCUACGGGAGGCAGCAGUGGGGAAUAUUGCGCAAUGGGGGGAACCCUGACGCAGCCAUGCCGCGUGAAUGAAGAAGGCCUUCGGGUUGUAAAGUUCUUUCGGUAUUGAGGAAGGUUGAUGUGUUAAUAGUACAUCAAAUUGACGUUAAAUACAGAAGAAGCACCGGCUAACUCCGUGCCAGCAGCCGCGGUAAUACGGAGGGUGCGAGCGUUAAUCGGAAUAACUGGGCGUAAAGGGCACGCAGGCGGUUAUUUAAGUGAGGUGUGAAAGCCCCGGGCUUAACCUGGGAAUUGCAUUUCAGACUGGGUAACUAGAGUACUUUAGGGAGGGGUAGAAUUCCACGUGUAGCGGUGAAAUGCGUAGAGAUGCGGAGGAAUACCGAAGGCGAAGGCAGCCCCUUGGGAAUGUACUGACGCUCAUGUGCGAAAGCGUGGGGAGCAAACAGGAUUAGAUACCCUGGUAGUCCACGCUGUAAACGCUGUCGAUUUGGGGAUUGGGCUUAAAGCUUGGUGCCCGUAGCUAACGUGAUAAAUCGACCGCCUGGGGAGUACGGCCGCAAGGUUAAAACUCAAAUGAAUUGACGGGGGCCCGCACAAGCG
rnacentral:rRNA from 1 species